AGAGGAAAGCUGGGCUGUUGAAAAUACUACUUUUCAUAUAUUUUCCAACUUAACAGCUUGACACAAAUCUCCAAGGGGUUUACAUAAGCUUUCAGUAGGUUGAAUAAAUAAAACCUUGAAUCAGUUUAAUUUAACAAGUACUUAUUGAAUAGCCACAUGCAGGCCACAAUCAGAUUAGUAACUAAGUGCCUUGGAAUUUUAAAAUUUCUCCUCUCUUUGUUAACGGAAUUAGAUAGCGGAAAUGAGGCUUUCUGUGGAUGUUUAUAAAAGCUUUCUCCUGGUUCUUUUGUGGCUCUCCGCACACCUUGCUGCAUGCAAUCUUUCUUGCGAUGGAGAAACUUGACUGGGAGCCCCGACGGGAGGUGGUAGCAGUGGUCUGGAUGAGAGAUGCUGUGGGCCCACACUCUGGCAGUGACCGUGGGGAUGCAGUUGUAAGGGAACAGCUGGAUUUAAGACAUACUUCUAAGGAGGAGACAGGCGUUCUUCUCACACAGGUCUCUGCUUAUACCCCAAUCGCAGUGGGCAAGGCUGCUGCAAAUGCAAUCAGAGGGGAAGAAGCUUGCAUUUGCUUUCUUUCAAAUAACUUUAACAGUGACUAGCCUGGCCAACCUUUUAGACAAGGUGCACUGAAUUUUGAGUCCCCUCUGGUUUGUAGGAGGAGAAGGAAACAGCCUAGAACAAGUGAGAAGACCAGGAAAGACUCCCUGAUCAAAAAUAUCCUGUCUCCAUAUUUCACCAACAAAACACUCACCUGGGUUAAAAGACUAUUCCUAAAAAAGCUAAUGACCCCUGAAGAAUGAAGCCAGUGGCCCAUUCAGUCUGGAUGAAGCCCUGCUACAUUCUUGUUUCUCAGUGACCCCUGGCCUGAGUGAGGCAUUCUUGAAACGCUGGCUCCCAGACUGUGGUGGGCACUACAGGUUAUCCACGCAACAGCCAGCCCCAGCUCCACUUUUGCCUCAUUUGUUAUAGGUUGGAAGUGUCCGAUGCUUUCCCAGCUCUUCUUGGAGUUAGCGAUGAGCCUUUGACCUAGUUCUAGCUGAAAAGAAACCUAAUGGGGGCUUCUCCUCCUUGAUAAGUGAGGACUCCACAAGGAAGAAAGCCCUUUUUGCCCCCAACUCCUUAUUUCCUGCUUGGAAUGCUGGUCAUGUAGGGACUACCACUUGACACUUGGAGCUACUGCAGCCUUUCUGCCACCAUGAGGGGAGAAAUCACUAACAAGCUGAUCGUGGCAGGGUGGGAUAUGGGAAGAGUCUGAUCCUUGAUAACUUGGUUAAGCAAUGGCACUAACCCUGGAAUUGCCCACUUCCAAUCUCGUUCUGUGAUAAUAAACCUCUAAUAUUUG
rnacentral:lncRNA from 1 species